UUUCCAAUUUAUUGUUUUGAACAAAACUGAGUAUAAGAUGAGGAAAUAAUGUAAUUCCCACAUAAUCUGCACGCAUCUGCAUGCGUGCACGCACACACUGUGUUUUACAGACGUGUGGCUCCAACUGCAGCAUCCCAGAGACAGCACUGAAGAACUGCUCCGGAUCUGUGCAGGUCCAGAGAAGGAAAGAGGCAGGUUUGGUGUUGCAGUGAAUUCACAAUUGCCCAGCAGGCACAGGUUGCCUGGUGACCUCUGUUCUUUUUCUGUCACGGCUGGAUUCUUCAGCCGUCCUGCUGUGGGGCUCUUUCUCAACGCCGUAGCUGAGCCACAGGUCUGGAAAGCAAUGCUGGAACUGUUAGAAAAGGCAAGGGUGCUGUUGCCAGCCUAUUAGGAAAGGACAAGUAUAGCAGAUCCAGAGAGUGAUAAAUGAGGAAACAGCAAUAAUUAGCUAAGCCAGAGGAACGGCUAACUGCACCAAUGCAGGCGUAACAGCACACAAAGGAUGUAGACAGCCACACCAUUCUGCAAGACUGUCCCCUCCCAUCCCCAGUUCCUGAACUUGAAUGGCAGCUGAUCAGAGAGGAAAUACAUGUCCAGAUGGACAAUAAAAU